UUCCACCCUUUUUUGAGUUUAAAUAUAGUGCGAUUAUUUAUUAUACUUUAUCUUAAAGAAUAAGAGGGGGGUUGCUCUGAUGGUAAACAACCUUCACUUCCAGCCGAGAGGUUGUGAGUUCGAGUCUCCCCAAGGGCAAGGUAGGAAUUUCUUGGAGGGAAGGAUGCCGGUGGUCUAUUUGAAAACAGCCUCUCUACCCAAGGGUAGAUGUAAGAUAUCAUACACACUACCCUCCUCAGACCCUACUAAAUAAGAUUAUAUUGGAUUGGUCUUAUUGUUGUUAUUGUAUAUCUUAAAGAAUAAAUAUAUUAUUAAAAUAUAGUACGGUAAAUAACUGUAUCAUAUAAGAUGCUCAUUUUAUUUUAUUUGUAUCGUUUGAGUCCAAAAGAAUUACACCUUAAAUCUGGACACACCAAAGAAAGAGGGAUAGUAGGGCGUACGGUAAUACACUGAAAUCGGGUGGGUGUUAGUGUGGGGACUGAAUGCUAAUCAGAACUCCGACAAUUUUUUAUCUCAAUGAAUGACCCGUCAUUUUCUCUCCAUCGUAUUAUAAUUUUCUUUUAUUUAUUUUUCAAAAUUAAUUAUGUAGUUUUUUAUAUAAAAUUUAUUUCAUGAAAUUUGCCUUGAUUUCUUUCCUUUUGUGAUAUUCCGAAUCUUAAUUAAAUUACUAUUCCCGCUGUUUCAAUUGUCAAAUACAU
rnacentral:lncRNA from 1 species